rnacentral:rRNA from 1 species
AACGCGAAGAACCUUACCUGGGUUUGACAUGCACAGGACGCCAGUAGAGAUAUUGGUUCCCUUGUGGCCUGUGUGCAGGUGGUGCAUGGCUGUCGUCAGCUCGUGUCGUGAGAUGUUGGGUUAAGUCCCGCAACGAGCGCAACCCUUGUCUCAUGUUGCCAGCACGUAAUGGUGGGGACUCGUGAGAGACUGCCGGGGUCAACUCGGAGGAAGGUGGGGAUGACGUCAAGUCAUCAUGCCCCUUAUGUCCAGGGCUUCACACAUGCUACAAUGGCCGGUACAAAGGGCUGCGAUGCCGUGAGGUGGAGCGAAUCCUUUCAAAGCCGGUCUCAGUUCGGAUCGGGGUCUGCAACUCGACCCCGUGAAGUCGGAGUCGCUAGUAAUCGCAAAUCAGCAACGCUGCGGUGAAUACGUUCCCGGGCCUUGUACACACCG